rnacentral:rRNA from 1 species
GACGGCGGGGGCAAGCGUUGUUCGGAAUUAUUGGGCGUAAAGGGCUCGUAGGCGGUCCGGUGUGUCUGGCGUGAAAUCUCCACUGCUUAACAGGGAGGGGCCGCUGGAAACUGCCGAUCUUGAGUAUGGUAGAGGACCAUGGAAUUCCGGGUGUAGCGGUGGAAUGCGUAGAUAUCCGGAAGAACACCGGUGGCGAAGGCGGUGGUCUGGACCAAAACUGACGCUGAGGAGCGAAAGCCAGGGGAGCAAACGGG